rnacentral:rRNA from 1 species
GGAAAAGGAUGUGGCGUUGCCCAGACAACUAGGAUGUUGGCUUAGAAGCAGCCAUCAUUUAAAGAGUGCGUAAUAGCUCACUAGUCGAGUGACACUGCGCCGAAAAUGUACCGGGGCUAAACAUAUUACCGAAGCUGUGGAUUGUCCGUAGGACAAUGGUAGGAGAGCGUUCUAAGGGCGUUGAAGCAUGAUCGCAAGGACAUGUGGAGCGCUUAGAAGUGAGAAUGCCGGUGUGAGUAGCGAAAGACGGGUGAGAAUCCCGUCCACCGAUUGACUAAGGUUUCCAGAGGAAGGCUCGUCCGCUCUGGGUUAGUCGGGUCCUAAGCUGAGGCCGAUAGGCGUAGGCGAUGGAUAACAGGUUGAUAUUCCUGUACCACCUAGUAUCGUUUUAAUCGAUGGGGGGACGCAGUAGGAUAGGCGAAGCGUACGAUUGGAUUGUACGUCCAAGCAGUAAGACUGAGUGUUAGGCAAAUCCGGCACUCUUAAGGUCAAGCUGUGAUGGGGAGAGGAAAUUGUUUCCUCGAGUCGUUGAUUUCACACUGCCGAGAAAAGCCUCUAGCUAGAUUUAUGGUGCCCGUACCGCAAACCGACACAGGUAGUCAAGAUGAGAAUUCUAAGGUGAGCGAGCGAACUCUCGUUAAGGAACUCGGCAAAAUGACCCCGUAACUUCGGGAGAAGGGGUGCUCUUUAGGGUUCACGCCCAGGAGAGCCGCAGUGAAUAGGCC